AGAGUUUGAUCCUGGCUCAGAUUGAACGCUGGCGGCAGGCCUAACACAUGCAAGUCGAAUGGUAACAGGAAACAGCUUGCUGUUUCGCUGACGAGUGGCGGACGGGUGAGUAAUGUCUGGGAGACUGCCUGAUGGAGGGGGAUAACUACUGGAAACGGUAGCUAAUACCGCAUAACGUCGCAAGACCAAAGAGGGGGACCUUCGGGCCUCUUGCCAUCAGAUGUGCCCAGAUGGGAUUAGCUAGUAGGUGGGGUAACGGCUCACCUAGGCGACGAUCCCUAGCUGGUCUGAGAGGAUGACCAGCCACACUGGAACUGAGACACGGUCCAGACUCCUACGGGAGGCAGCAGUGGGGAAUAUUGCACAAUGGGCGCAAGCCUGAUGCAGCCAUGCCGCGUGUAUGAAGAAGGCCUUCGGGUUGUAAAGUACUUUCAGCGGGGAGGAAGGGAGUAAAGUUAAUACCUUUGCUCAUUGACGUUACCCGCAGAAGAAGCACCGGCUAACUCCGUGCCAGCAGCCGCGGUAAU
rnacentral:rRNA from 1 species